ensembl:rRNA 5S_rRNA 5S ribosomal RNA
GUCUGUGGCCAUACCACCCUUAACAUGCCCGAUCUUGUCUGAUCUUGAGAACCCAAGGGUCGGGCCUCAUUGGUACAGGCUAGUUAGUAAUACGGGGUAUUGUAGAAC